rnacentral:lncRNA from 10 species
UGGGAGACCAGCCCCCGGGCACAGCACGCAAGAGGCCAGAGCAUUCAAUUAACUGUGUUGCCAUGAGUCGCAAGCACAGAGAGCAGCAGCAGGUGGACCCCGCCCGCACCAGGCCCUGUUCCUGGUCUUCAGUGCUCACUGCUUCAUUGAGGGAGGAUGCACAGAAAAGGUCACCACUGUGACUGCUGGUUUGCAUAUAAGGACACUGAGGCUUGAGGGGGGGACUGUGGGGACCCAGGCCUCCUCCCUCAAAGCCCACAGCUCCUUCCUGAAACACACCUGGGUUCCAGUCCCAGCUCUGCCUCUCAGGGAAGUCACAUGUCCCCUCAGUGCCUCAGUUUCCCCUCUGCUUCAGGGAGGCUCAGUGAAGGGUGAGGAGGACCCAC